rnacentral:rRNA from 1 species
UACGAAGGGGGCUAGCGUUGUUCGGAAUUACUGGGCGUAAAGCGCGCGCAGGCGGUCUUCCAAGUCAGUGGUGAAAGCCCGGAGCUCAACUCCGGAACUGCCAUUGAAACUGUGAGACUGGAGUACGAGAGAGGUGAGUGGAAUUCCCAGUGUAGAGGUGAAAUUCGUAGAUAUUGGGAAGAACACCGGUGGCGAAGGCGGCUCACUGGCCCGGUACUGACGCUGAGGUGCGAAAGCGUGGGGAGCAAACAGG